rnacentral:lncRNA from 1 species
AUGGCCAGUACAAUGGUAGCAGUUGGACUGACCAUUGCUGCUGCAGGAUUUGCAGGCCAUUAUGUUUUGCAAGCCAUGGAGCACAUGGAGCCUCAAGUAAAGCAAGUUUUUCAAAGUCUAUCAAAAUCUGCCUUCAGUGGUGGCUAUUACUGAGGUGAGUUUGAACCCAAAAUGACAAAACAAGAAGCAGCAUUAAUGCUAGGGGUAAGCCCUACUGCCAAAAAAGGGAAAAUAAGAGAUGCUCAUUGAUAAAUUAUACUCUUAAAUCAUAGCAGCCAAAAUCAGUGAAGCUAGAAAUUUACUAGAAGGUCAAGCUAAA